rnacentral:lncRNA from 1 species
UUUUUUUUUUUUUUUUUUUUGUCGACGGAGUGGGGUGUCCGGGUCAAGUCCGUAAAGGCGGCCCGACUAAUUCCCACUCCGGCCCGGUCCAGCACCCCAACCAGACCUAGCACGUUAAAUACACGGCGAACUGAUGUUGCUGCGGAGGUUCGACCCCAGGACCUAACGGUCCCGAGGAGGAGGCGCCAACCACCAGCCCAUUCACGUGUUGAUUGAUAGCAUAGAUGAGCAUAUUUUUGGUACUGGAUGACGUGGCAACCUUGGUGAAGCAAAUUGGAGAACCACGAAAAGAUGAGUCUAGAGCCUAGACUCGCAAAAUGGAAAAAAAAAAAAAAACCCAUUACUUUUUUCAAGUUUGUAAAUUCAAAUACCUUAGAAAUUAGUACCAUAAAUAUUAUUUAAAAAAAAAAAGAAAUUCAUUCCACAAUUUAAAUGAAAACAAAAAUUGAUCCGUAUAUAUAUAUUUUUAAAGUGUACGAGGUCGCCAUCGUACCUAUGCUUGGUCACCAGAUGGUGGAUCAAAAUCAACAUCUCCAGUUUGGCGAGGUCAUUUCCGGGACAGGCGUGGGCUCCACUGCCAAAUGGCAUGAAGGUGUUGGGCUUGGGGGCCACCUGAAUCAAAGGCCACCGCAAAUACAAUAAACAAAGUACUGUAGAAGAACAAUAAUAAUAAUCUCGAAAAACGAGAACCAUCAGUAAAAUUUGGUACUCAUUAGAAAGAAGAAACAAAAGUCGUGUGAUAUCUCCAAAAUCGGAUACCUCAAAUCUUGCAGGAUCAAAACUUUUGGGGUCCACGAAAUGGUCGGGAUUGUGAUGAAUAUUUCUGAAUAGCGGCAUCACCUUCCACCCUUUUGGUAUGAGAAAUCCUGUUUCAAUAUGAAUCAUGCACGAGUUAAGAUUUACUAUACGUACAUCCAUAUACAUGAAAAAUUGAAAAUACUAGCACUAUAAUAUGAUCAUUGAGACGAGGAAAUAAAUCGAGAAGUUUGUAUAUAACUAUAUCUAUAUAUGUAUAUCACAUGGUAAAAAGGUGUGAGUUUGGAACCUUACCAUCAUAUUCUACGUCAGUCACAGCUUCCCUGAAGGUGAAUGAUAUGAUGCUAGCCAUCCUUAAGCUUUCUAAUAUUACCUGCCAUUCCAAUUAGGAUGGUGAAUUUUGCUUAUCAGAGGAUCAGUUCAUUAAUCUUUCUCUCGAAUUGUCACCAUGGAGGAUAAAGUAAUGGGGAGUAGUAAUUACCUUGUGUGUCAGCGGCAUAUUUCUCGUUUGAGCCCAUGUCAAGGGUUGCUUUCCUUCUUGAUUUAAGGUCCAGACAGCCCUUUGCUCUAUCUGCAGCAAGAUUUUGGACGAAAAAUGAGACCACUGGUAUAAAAAUAAUUGGUCCGCGGCUUUACUGUUUUAUUUUACUAGCUAGAGUACUUCUUUUCUUGCCUAGCUAGAAGAGAGGAUCAAAAUGGUCAGGUAUUAAUUCACCUUGACAGCUUCUAAAAGUUUCUGGUUAUCGUGGAGGUACUUGAGAAUCCAGGUUAGGACACUAGCGGUUGUGUCUUGAGCAGCAAACAGCACUCCUAUGAUGUUGUCAGCGAUUUGAUCCUCUGUCAAAGUUUGCCCUCUCUCAUCUUUGAAGUUGAGCAGGUAACCCAACAGAUCUUUAUCCAAUAGCUUUUUCUGCUUCCUCUCACUGAUUAUUUCCCUUAUGAUCUGAUUCAACCUUUUCCUUGCCUUGCCAUAAUUCACCGUGAAAAAGACAAGACGAGUCAGCAAGAAAGCUCCUUUCCAAUUAAGGCAGCAACCUGAUCUCGAAGAGCUUAUCACCACUUACCAAUAGAGAUUUAUGAUACGCUGUUCCUGGCAAGUUUGUGGGAAAAGAAUUGUACCCUUUAUCUACAAUGGAAUAGUUCUCCUUUAGUGCGUUCUUAUACUUGAUUUCUAGGUGACCGAAGAUAGCAAGGAUGCCGACCUCAAAAGAUAACUGCGCAAGUUAGAUCCGCGAAAUCGUCAUGUCAUGUGCGAGGAAAAUAAUGAAACAUAUGACAAAUUGGAGGUCCCGGAAACCAUAAGGUUAGAAGGACCCAUCAAGAAAAAACAAAUUUCUAAGAGACCCCGUAUGAAAAUAGUCAAAUACUCUAGCUAUGCUACAAUGAACAAGACAACAAAGUCGUCAGGGCACUCUCCAAAAAUACCUUCUUCAUCUCAUGGAAUGUGUUGGUGAUCAGACCGGACUCCCAAGUUUGCAUGCAAGAAAUGAUUAUAGCUUCAAUAUCCGGAACCAGCUUUCGAAGGGCCUCUGGAGAUAACGAGUUAUGAACCAGCUUCUUCAAGUGAGUGUGGUAGUUUCCUUCGUGGAAAAACAAUGCCCAGGGGCCGAUCAUCGUCUCUUUACUCCUGGGAUAGGUUGGUUUGAACAAGUGAGAAUGAGUAACCAACACGAACCGAGAGGCUUCAGGGCUAGCCAACAUGAUACAAGGGCAGCCAAGUAUCUUGGUCUUGAACAUAUCUCCAUAUCUGUGCGUAAGAACAAGAAAAUCAUCAGCUCGUGAUCUCUGCAGUUUCUGGCAGCGGGACAUAAAUUUAAAGGAGGAUGUGAAAAUCAACUAGUGUUAAUAGCUAGCUGAGUCAUGCAAACCGUUUUUGCUUCUGAGCAAAGAAAACAUUCGGAUCUUGGGAGUACAAUUGAAGAGUCUCUCCUAUGUAAGGCCAUCCCAUAGAGCCAGGAGGCAACUUUGCUCUUCCUUUGUUUGUUCUCUCCUUGUUCUUCGAUAGGCAAUAAUAAAGAGCAGUAGAGAAAAGGAUGAGGAUGUAUAUAAGCGUAGAAACAAUAUUAUCCAUACGAGUUCUUUCUCCCUUUGCUCUCCCUUCUGUUCCUCUCCCGUUCUCCAAGCUGCAGUAUUCUAUGACCAAGCUUUGUUAAUUGUGUUUUUCUAUCGGAGCUUCAGGGGGUGGAUAAUGGAUGUACUGAGCAACGAAGGUAGUUGCCAAAUGAUGGCUUAGUCAAUGAGAAGGAUAGCGAAGGUUUAUGGUUUAUAUAGAAAUUGAGGGGCAAGGAGCAGAGGGAAAAGGACGGAUAUGGAUCUGAAUUUAAAUAAAGGGGCUUUGCCAAAUUUGGGUGAAAAGUCCUCCUAGCUGUUAAUAUGGCACUGUUGCAUUCACAAAUCACCCAAUGAUAAAGAAAGUUUUGGACCACUUUUAAGUUUUACCCUGAGAUAAACAUGAGCUAACUCCGGAGUUCGGAUAGAAAAUUUGAGGAUGAAAAGCGAUCGAGAAAGGAAAGCAUAUUGCUACCUUGUUUUUGUUUUGUUUGCUUGUUUGUUUGUUUGCUUUUUUUUUUUUUUUUUGACCUCCUUCUCUAGCUCAACGGAUUUUACAUUUUUACUUCAGAUUCCUUGCAACUAUGGUAUGUUAUUGGAAUUUACAUAUAGAACCAUGUAAAUAGUAUCAUUUUAACAGAAAUUACACGGUAUUAUCCUUCAUCGAAAUUUUGCUAAAUACUCUCUUCCAGCAAUUAAAUGAUAAGCAAAUUUAGCUCACGAGUAACCGAAAAGUCUAGCACUGGCAGGAGCGGUAUUGCCAUUGUGGGGGAUGACUUCUACUUGCUGUACCAUUUACGCCAACGAAAAUGUUGUAACCUAGAGCGUGUUUGAAUUGAGUAAUAUUUAAAAUAAUUAUCAUAACACUUUUUAUAUUUGAUAUAUAUGAAAUAAAAUGUGAUUGAAAAUAUACAAAUAUAUGUUAAAAAAAACGUGUUUAUGAUACAAGCAAAAUAAUAUUUUGACAAAAAAAAAUUUGUAUCAAAACGCACCAAUGUUUGGAUGAAAGACUACUUGAAAAGUUUUUUGAAAUAACAUUCUAGCAUUUUUUAAUUAAAAAAUGUGACAUAAAAACUUAAGUAGACAACAAGUUAAAGAUGCAAGCAAAAAAAAUUUAUAGAUGCUAAGACGUAUGAUCAAUUUAAAUGUCUCUUUUCAAAUUAGAAUUAACUUUCCCAUUCCCAAAGGGAUAUGAAUAAGGUCAUUUGGAUUGUGAGUUUUUGAAAAUUUUGUAAAAAAAAAAAAAAAAAAUACUGUAAUGAUAUUAUAUAUGUGAGGUAAAAAAAAGGAAUUGAAAAAUGUGCAGACAAAAUUUUUCUGUGAAAACUCGCAACCCAAACAAGGUCGUUUAUAUUUUUCCUCUCAUUUAUAUAUCUUAUUUGAUUGAUGAUACCAACCGUGGUGAAUAAGCUAAUAAUGUAUACAGCAUUAAAUUGUUGAUGCGAAAAAUUACUUGAUUUGUGAAGUAAAUUUGAAGUCGUUUGGCAGUAAUUUGGGUACGCUGAUGGCAGAAGUGAUCCAAAGAUGAGUAUAAUUUUAAAUCAGAGCCAACACAUUUACAAGUUAAGAGUUUGAAUGCUCAAUCCUAACAUUAAUUUGUUGCUAAAACUAACGUUGAUGAAUAUAUGGGGUUUACGCCAAAUUGUAGAAUUCGGAGAGGAGUAAAAUGUGAGGUUCCAGCUGAUGGGUAUUUUGUCUUUGGCCCCACAUUCUCAAUGCUUCAGAGUCGGACGACUGGAUUUGGUUGAUACUUAUAUGAUAUGGGGAAAUUAAGUUGCGUCUUCGAUAAGUUGAUUUGAAGUUUCAAUGAAACGGUUUAGACCCAAACUGCCUCAAUUUCACCAUGUCUGUCCCAAGUAAUAAAGGUCUGAUUUUCACCAAUUAAGCAUAUUUUGCUCAAAACAAAUGCUUGACAAGCUGUGACCAAAAGAAGUUAGGGGCUAACAUCACGAAAAAAUAGGUUUUACUAAAGGCUUAUUAUGAACUUAUUUAGUUAGAAAAAUAGUUAACAUGACUAUAGUUAAACAAUGAAUGGAGCUUCCUAGCAAAUGAAUAACCAGUCGAGCUUUAAGCAAAAUCGUAGAUUAGCUGUAAUACUUGUUUGAAAUGUGAUAAAUGUAAAAUAAAAAUGAUAAUUAAAUACAAAGUGAAAUAUUUUUGCAAAAAAAAAAAUACAAUACAAUCGAGGUCUAAACUUAUUGUCUGUGAGAGUUUUAGUGAUAAUAGAAGAAAUUGUAAAUAUAAGGUUUUGGAUUUAAAACUUCUUACUAGAAAAAAUACUUACAGUAACUGAAACAUUCAGUUAAACUGAUUGUUAUUAGGUUUAAAUUAAUUAUGAAGAUAGAUUGAGAAUGGCACGCGUACUUCAAACUAUAUCAAUAAAACCAUGAUAUGGGUAAGCUGAAUUAAUGUUAAGCCUCUAAAAAUAAGUGGUCUCUGGAAAUAAUUCCUGUAACACUUUUAGUGAUGUGAUGUAUGUGAGAUCAAAAGGUGGUUGGAAAUAUAAAAAGAUAGAUUGAAAAAUGUGUUUAUGAUGCAAUCGAAAUAUUAUAUGGGAUAAUUUGCUACCCAAUUAUAAUUGAUAAUUUAUAUCUCGUGAAAUUUAGAUUCUUGCAUUUUCUACCUCUGUCUUGUUAACAAAAAUAAAGGGAUAAUAUCAGAUACCUCCCCAAAUGGUUUCUUAUAAUAUCAUACAGUACCUCUUAGGUUUUGGAUUGACAUUUCUUAUAACAUUUUAACCCCUUUUGGGGGAAAUGCAAGAAAGUUAAAUUUUUUGUUUCAAUACUACCCUUAUAUUAUCCUACUUAUGAAGCUUACAACAACAAUAAAAAAUAAAAUAAGGUUAAAAAAAAGAUGAAAAUGUGAGAGGUUAUAAAUGCAAUAAUGAGUAAUUUUGUACACAUACAACAACUAUUGCUUAUAUAAUGCACAAUAUUUAACAAAAAAAAGCGAUAUUCCUAGAUAUAUAUUUGGUCAUUAGAUCAAUUUUUUUUAAAAAAAAUUUUUGACUUACUUAUAAAGUUUUUUUCUAUAAGUAGAAUUUGUAUUACGAAUCCUAUGCAUAUAGAGAUUAUUUUACUUUUUAGCACAACUCAAACUAUAUCAUGUAUUUUGACAUAUUUUCAAAAAAAAAAUUUAUUGACUUCCUUAUAACUAUCCACAAAAUUUUUAAAGGUGUUAAUUACUCACCAAAUCCUCCUAAGUAGCUAACUUUGACUAGAUUUAAUUUAUCUGAGUCAUUUGCGGUCCUCCCACAAUUUUGAUAUAGAUAAAUAUGGACUAUUAUUAGAUAACAAUUUGCAACCUACAAAUUUUUGUUUAAAAUUUUAUUUUAUUUGGCUUUUUGGCUAAAUAGUUAUUAAGGACAAGGGUAAUAUUGUCAAUUUAUGACCUUUGAUAAGAAUAUUUAGUCUUGUCAAGUUCACAGAGAAGGUAUGUGAGAUUUUAAAAAUCUCAAGAGAACUGAGUGAUAUUAUGAAAAACCUUAGAUGAUGUUUUUGAAAUUAUCUCAAAAAUAAAACUACAGCAAAAGGUGAACAUCAGGAAACGUGUUUGCUGUAUUUUAAAAAAUAAAAUAAAAUUUUUGUUCUACCCAAUGAGAAUGAUUCAAUUUUACUAAUGAAAUAUGGAGUUAGCAUGACAUAUAUAAUUGAAUAGUGAGUUUCUAAUUUAAUCUUGUACUAUAAUUUUGGAGGGAAAAAAUAUCAAGUUUGAUAAAAUACUAGAUGAAACUUGAUAAUAUUGUGAACAUUUAAUAUCUUUCCCACCGGGUCAGGUAAUGGUGAUUGGCAAUGGCGAUGCAAUAUCAUCAAAUAUGCCUCCCUCAUUUCUUGAAUCGAUCAUAGAACUCGUCUUUUAGCAAAUGAGGAAGGGAUCCUCCGGUUAUUCUGGAUUCCCGUAAAAAUUAUCAAGUCGAAGCGGGCAAUUAACCAGAAAUUUUCUUGCGCCUAUUGAAUUGUAGCAAUAUCUUUCCGCAAAACCUUUUGCACUUUCAUUCUAAGAACCGGUGGACGUAUAAAUAUAUACACUGACAGCAUAUAUGUUAUCAUUUUAAAAUUAAAAUUAUGUGUUAUAAAUCUAUCAAUAUUAAUGUACACUACAAAAUUAAUCCAAUUUUCAAAAGGCUCUAUGUUUUGAAUAAGCUCCUUAAUUGCAUGUGGUAUUAUACACGCAUAUUAAUAACUAUGACUGUCUCUCGCAUUUAUAUAUUUUUCUUAAAAUUUAACAAUUGAACUACAUAUUAUUGGGCAAGACAACAGUCUAGAGUGUCGCAACGCCUUUAAUGACGUAUCAGAAAGACGGCGCUAUAGCGUGGUCAUUCACGUGGGAGUGAUGGGGACCAGAUUAGGGGUGUGCAUUCGGUGCAAAUUCGGUAAUUCGGUGCACUGAAUUCGGUGAAUUCGGUUAUUCUACCUGUAAAAAUUUAAACCGUUUUCAAUUCCAAAUUGGGCAUAACCGAAUUCAUUCCGCAACCGAUUUCAAAUUUGAAAACGGUAAUGAAUUCGGUUAAACCGAAUUCAUCUAUGAUUUAUAAAUUAUUACUGAUUUGAUCCCUAAAUUUAUUCAUAAUUGAACACAUUACUUAUGUUCUAAUCAUUUUGUGGUUUAAUUGGCAUUUAUUUGAUCACUUUUACCUAGAAUUCUUAGUCUAUGAUUUAAGAAACACAUAAAAAGUGAUUAAUUUAAAUUAGAAUAAACCUUAGACUAUACAAUGAUUGGUGAUAAUUUAUGAAUUUAUAAUUUACAAUGAUUAAUUAUAAGCAAUAUUAGUUAGUAGUUACAAUGAAUUUAUAAUUUACACUGAUUAAUAAUAAGUAAUAUUAGUUACAAACUUACAAAUUACAAUGAUUAGUGAUAAGUUAUAUUAGUUACAAACUUAUAAUUUAUUUCAAAUCAAAAUAAAAACUUAUUUACUUACACAUGUUAUUGUGAAAGUCAAUACACUAAUACAUUGAUUUGUAAUUCACAUACAUUCACUUACAGUCUUACACUGCUUAGUUGUCUUGUCUAUACUUAAAGCCUUAAGAUUAGUAAAUAGAUAAUAUGAAUUUUAACUUAUUUGAUAACUUAUGCGUAAAAUCAUUAGUCUAUGAUUUAAGGAACACAUAAAAAGUGAUUAAUUUAAACUAGAAUAAACCUUAGACUGUACAACGAUUAGUGAUAAUUUAUGAAUUUAUAAUUUACAAUGAUUAAUAAUAAGUAAUAUUAGUUACAAACUUACAAAUUACAAUGAGUAGUGAUAAGUUAUAUUACUUACAAACUUAUAAUUUAUUUCAAAUCAAAAUAAAACUUAUUUACUUACAUAUAUUAUUGUGAAAGUCAAUACACUAGUACAUUGAUUUGCAAUUCAUAUGCAUUCACUUACAUUGCUAACUACUUAGUUGUCUUAUCUAUACUUAAAGUCUUAAGAAUUAAGAUUAGUGAAUAGAUAAUAUGAAUUUUUAUGUUAAAUAUGUAGAGUACACUAAUACUUGCAAGUUAGAGAUUACGCAUUCAAAUAUUCAAUAAUUCAAACAUGAAUGAUGUAUCAAAUUACCAAUAUCUAAAUUUAAUUACUAAUUAUGUUUAUUGUUUAAUAUUUAGUAUUAUACAUAUAUGUGUUAAUUAUUAUCUAAUUCUAGUCAUGUUACUCAUGUAUAAAAUAAUAAGUAUUAUAGUUAUCUUAUAUUGUUAUGUAUUACUAUAUAUUGGUAUUAUUAUAGUCAUAUAACAAUUAACAAAUACUAAAAUAAUAUAUUGUACAUUAUUAUAUAUUAUUAUUAUUAUAAGUACAUGAUAUGAUGAUAAAUUGAUAAUACCAUAUACUAAUUAUUAUUAAUAGCAUUUACCUAUAUAAUAUAAUAAAGUAUUAGUAGUAUAUACUAAUACUAAAUAACAUUUAUCUAUAUAUUAUAUAAUUUUAUAUACCAAUUUGGUAAUUCGAAUGCGGUAAUGCGGUACCCGAUUUCAAUUACCGAAUUUGAAUGCGAAAUCGGUUAUUACCUAAUUCAUAAUCUCAUUACCUAUUUCAUACCAUAUUAGAAUUCGGUGAAUUUGGUACGUACCGAAUUUGUACCAAAUUAUCAAAUACCCGAUUUCAAAUUACCAAAUUAAAUUUGAAAUCGGUUAUGAAUUCGGUAAAAACCGAAUUUGCUCACCCCUAGACCAGAUGGCAUCGGCGGUGUAGCAGUAGAGCCCGUAGGAUCUCAUACGUUCUAGAUCAGAUGGCGAUUACGUGACGUCCUAACUCGUAACUCCCCAGGGACACGAACCUUCGGGAGAAUGGGACCGGAGCGGAGAAGCUCUAAUAAGCGAGGAGUGGUAAUGCGAAGUCCGCUUCAGCCUUCAGGUAUCAGGUGGUAGGUAGUCGCAAUCAGAGAAAGCUGAACACGACACGUGUUGAAAUCUCUGUGUUUGAUUGCCGCCUCACCAGAAUGCACUGGUACUAUCGAUCCUGUGCGGGCGGGUCUUGACUAGUACAUUUAUAAAUUUUAAGGCACAGGCGUGAUGGCACAGGAGUCUUCUGUUUUGGCAAGUCGUCGGCUCCUCGUUUCACUAUUCUUGCCCUGUUCGAAGGGCGCCAAAACAUCCCUCUGCCUGCAUUUGUCUAAAUCUUUUUGCUACUUCAAGUAGUUUUUUUCUUUUUCUUUUUCUUUUCUGGUCGGCUUUCUCUUUUCUCUUUCUUUCUUCCACUUUUGGGUCGAUGUCGGUGUUUCAGGUAAAUAAAGAGAGAUUUUCUGAUUGUGUUUUUUUACGCAAAUGACAGAAUAUCAUAACAAGUACAGGAUUAAAUUAUCAAAUCAGGAUGACGCUGGAUUGUGUUAAAUGUAGUAUCUGUGGAAGAUCACACAAUUAUUUGUUUAGGCAUAAAAUGCAUUACUUACAAUCAAUCUACGAUAUAUAUAAUUUAAUAACAUUAUAAUUGGGCUUGUUCUCAGUUGUUCUAGAUUUUGCAAAAUUGAUUAUCAAAAGUGAUUAUAGAAUAUAAUCAGAAUCAGCAAAUUCUAGUUUGUUUGGAUACAGUAGUAUUAUUUGAAAUAAUUACUGUAUCACUUUUUGAUCACUUUUUGUGAUAUGAUAUAUGUGAGAUCAAAAAGUGAUUUGGAAUAUAAAAAGGUGGAUUGGAAAAUAUGUUUAUGAUGCAAACAAAAUAUUAUUUGACAUAAUUUGCUAUCCAAACACUUAUUCUGUUUUUUGAAUGAUUAUACGAAUGCUAACUUUUUUGGCUGUUAAAAAUCUGUAAUCUGAAUAUAAGAGCAAAUGAGAACAUCUCAAUUACUAAUUAUUCAUAACCAAAAUCUAUAUUUAGUUAAAAUAAUCAACCGAGAACAAGCUUAGAGAGAAUAAUCAAAAUCAAUAAAAGUUACUCUUUGGUUGAUUAUGAAUUACAAGGCCUUACCUUGUUUGGAUUGCAGUUUUCCGUCGGAAAAUUACGUCGUUUUCCGUGAUCACAUUUCCCUAUUACCUUUUUUCCUCACAUACAUCAAAUCGCUACAGUAAUUUUUCCAUGAAAAAUCAUGAGAAAUGCAAUCCAAACACAAGUUUUUCUAGUUAUUAAAAAGCUAUAAUCUGAACAACAAAAGUAAAAGAGAUGUGGGGUUGCACCUUACAAGCUGACUUGCUAAUAAAUGAAUUCACCACUGCCGUUGGCUUUUUCAUGGGAUGUUUGUGGGGUUGCAGGCCAUCAGAUGCAGUGCCUUAGAAACCGCUAACGUACGAAGGCAAAUAAAAUCUUUCGCCCAUGAUUAGAAGCGGUAUCGCAUCUAAAACUCAGUUUUACGGUGGUAUUUGUGAAUGACUGUUCCUACAUGAGAUAAGAAUUACAUGUUUCAGUUUUAAUGCAAUUGAGAAAGUGUAACGAAAAAAAAAAGAACCAAAAUCAACCUGGCGCCUCUAGGAAAUAUUUUGUAGAUUCUUUUCUUUAUAACUCAACAACUGAAACUGAAGGGGUAGUUGAAUGACAGUGCAUUGUACUUAUGGCCGUAGAGUUUUGUCAGUCCAUCACCGUGCACUGGAUCUCAACUCAAGGAUGUUCAGCUUUAAAGGUUGCUGAUUUUUGCUGGUGCCCCUCCCAAAAAUUCGCAAGCUUUAGGUUUUCUUUUCUAUUCACAUAUGAUUGGAUUUUUGACACAAAGAUUUGCAGGAAAGUACCACAUGUUGUAAAUUUAACAAUGUUCAAGACGAUAGGACAUUAACAUUCACUGAAGAAUAACAUUUCUGGGUCGUAUUGCUUUUCUGAAAUUAUUGUCAUUGUUACUAGGUGAUAUUAUUGGCUCUCUCUCCCACUACGUGAACUAAAAAGUCUAAUAACACCCAACACUAGUAUCAAAGUUCGAUGUACAACGCCGUCUUCCAAUAAGUUAUUAGGUGACAUUGGUUCUCUCUCGCACUCCAUGAACUAGAGAGUUCAACAACACCCAACACUACUAUAAACGUUUGGUUACAACUAGGGCUGCAAACGAGCCGAGUCGAGUCGAGUUUUGAGCUAAUCGAGCCGAGUCUCGACUAAAUUUUACUAAACUCGAGCUCGACGAGCCGGCAAUUUUCAAGCUCGAGCUCGACUCGAAUCAAGUCGAGCCGAGCUCGAGUCGAGCUCGAAAAAAAUAAAAAAAUAAUUAUUUUAUUUUUUAAAAAAUAAAUAAAAUAAUAUUUUUUUCUUAAUAAAUAAUAAAAUAUUAAGGAUAUAUACGUAAUUUUACUAUGAAAAUAAAAAAUAAAAAAAAAUAUAUAUAAUAUACGUAAUUUUAUUAUUAAAUAAUAUAUAUAUAUAUAUAUAUAUAUAUACUCAAGCUCGUGAGCCGGCUCGCGAGCUAACGAGCUUAAUAUUCUGAGCUCGAGUUUGGCUCGAGCUCGACUCGAGUUUGACUCGAGCCGUUCGCGAGCGGCUCGAUUCGUUUGCAGCCCUAGUUACAACACCUUCUUCCAAUAAAUACUCGGAUGGAAAAUUGAUGAUUUUAUCCAACCUAGGACUUGAUGUGUGAGUUGGAGGGAGGGGGGAUUGUUGAAUUUAUUUCCCAUCAAUUCCAGGUAGUAACAAUGUGCUACUUAUUAAUAAGUACGAGGGAAAGUCUGUUUGGAAAGUCAUUUUCCGUCAAAAAAUUGCUACGUUUUCCGUGAAUACAUUUCUCUAUCACUUUUUUACCUCACAUACAUCAAAUCGCUACAGUAAUUUUUUUACAAAAAAUCCAGAAAAAUGCAAUCCAAACACAACCAAUUAAUAGUUCUUUGAGCCAUUUUUUUACAGUGAGAAAACUUAAUAGCACCCAAUAGUUGUCCAAAAUUUUACUAACAUCAAGUUGUCUAAAAAAUCUUACUAACAUCACGAACCGACUGAUGGUGGUGAUACAUUUUUUUGCACUUCUACUUUACAAGUUAACAAGAGGUUCUUUUGUUUAUCCCACUCAGAAUUCUUCUAACGAUUUCUUCUUUCUUGUUUCAAAGUUGGUAUCACUAAUGUGUAGAGGUGAUAUAUGACAGCAUUUUCAUCACAAAUUUGAACUAAUUUUAAAUUUUGAUAUAAUAAAUCAAUGUAAUAAUACUCCAAAUAUGAAAGAUAGAACUCGAGUUGAAGCCUGCAUUGGAGAUUGAAACCAUGAAAGCUCGACUUGGAAUGUCCAUCCAUAUGGAGCCAAGCUUGAAGAAAACUAGAAGUCUAUAAUAUGUAUGCUCAGUUCAGGCAACAAACUCAGCCAACAUUCUUUUUUCUAUCAGGUUACAAUUUUCGGCAAACAUCCUCCAUUUAUAUUUAUUUCUUUCCCUCGUAUAAGUUUCAUAGACCAUAAUGUUACGCAUGUCAACAGUAAGAUCCCAAUUUAAACCUCCCUUAAGGUAUGAAUUUGGCAUCUUCAUUUUGGGUACACAUUUCGCAAUUCUCUUGCAAGUUUCACUUGGAAUAAUACCACAUGUUUUUUCUCCAUUAGUCAGAGGAAAAAAAAAAAGAAAAAAAGAUGUCGGAUCUCCAUCAGCAUCUUCUAUUCUUUAUACAAUCAUGCAUGGACAAGAAAGUUUUCCGAUGAGCACAUACAACUUGUAACCAUGUGGCUACUUCAGUCCCAACGAUCGAGGGUCUUACUCAUGUCAUUCAACCCCAGUGUCUUGUAAGACAUAGGAGAUGGAAAAGAAACAGGAAAAAUGUAAAAGGUCCAGAUAAGGUCAACCAACUUAUCACUAACUUUAUAAGCAUCAAAUUGAUAUAGUCCAACUGGGCUCUUGUGAUGGGAACACCUGCAUAACGAGUCCUUCUGGUGGAAAAUUCUCAACUAUCUCGCGGUGACGAGGCAUAUCCAAAAUCUGUUGUCAUUAUUGUCUCGCUUGAACUGCUUUGUUGCUUGAUGGAUAUGACCACUAAAAGAAAACAAAAAUGUACACGUAACUUGCUUCCCAAUAUUCUGCAAUGCAACUUUUCAAAGAAAAACUGAAAAAGUUUAGUCCAUCAUAGAGAAGAUGAUGCCCACUUUGUAGUUCUUGGCACUAUAGCCACUGUCAAUUCUAGGCGACUGUGUUCUUCACGUUGCUGCGUUGCACCAAUCUUCCACGGUUUUCCGAAUCUUGUUUUCGUUUUCUCUUGCUUGCAGUUAUAUGUACUUUUCAUGUUUAUUUAUUUAUAAAAAAUCAUAAUUUCAUUCAUGAGAUCAGCAAUAAUGGUAGAAAACACAUCAUCAGACAUGUUACAAAAACAACAACAAAAUUUCUAUGACUUACAUACACACCAGAUUUGAGAAAAUAACGAAUAUUAAUUACAUAAUGAAUCUCCAAUCUAUUUCAGAUGAUAUCAAUCUCUUUGAACCCAAUAGAGAAACAUCUGUGCAUGUCUUCUCUUACUUGAUUUACCGUUUAACUGUUUCAAAUCCAUACAUCAAGUUGAGAUCUCAGAAAUUUCAAAUUUAGUAAACAACUUUGAAAGAUUGAAACUUGACAAAGAAAAAAAAAACGUAAACUACAAGUAAAUUCUCGCUAAAAAUCCUAAAAGAGAAGAUUCUCUCACUUUAAAAAAAUGACCCUUAAAAAACUCUAGGAGUAAGAAGUCUCUUAUUAAGAAACCCUAAAUACCGGAAACUCUCAUUAGAAAAACUUUAGCAGAUUCUCUCACUAGAAGGUCCUAGAAAAGUAUACGAGAAAUCUUAGGAGAGAAGGAUUUGGUGCUUUAGAAUAUUGAAUGGCUAGAAAGUCAUGAAUUCUGCUUUUGUGGGAGCAACACUCUUCAUGUUCUUAAGGUGUCGGGAUUUUAUCGUCCGUUUCGAAAUUCAGUUUCGGGGUUUUAUCUGUUAUCCUUAUCCAAAAUGAGCAAUUGAAUGUCAAUUUGUUGGUAGGAAGCUACGUGUGCACAUUUUUUACGGUUAAAAAAAAAAAAAAAAAAAAGGGAAAAUCCUAUUCUGAUCCACAAUUUAUAAAAUAGAAAUAAAUUAAAUGAUAUAUAGUUCAACUCUCCUUGAUUUUUAGACAUCUCAUAUUUGCAUCUAUCUAUCGCAUAGGCAUAUCAUCUUUUAAAAUCAUUUUUCCUAAGUAGACUCUAAAAGCAAGCGUGACACAAAGUUAAAAACUAGUGAUGCAACAUGAAUAAUGAUAUUUCUAUAUAUACCACAUCACAUCUAUUUAGUUGCCACCAAAAUUCUUUUUUAACACAAAAUGUACCAAGUAAAUUGAACAAGUGUUCGUGGGCAAAGUCGCAGCAAUGAUGAUCCGGAAUGUUUUCCCACGAAACAAAAGUACAGCGCUCGAAAAAGGUGGUGUUGCUCCCAGUUCCAGAUACCCAGAAUUGUACUCGUAACCCUAUCGGCCUAUAUUAGCCAAGCAAAAGUGGAGUGAGUAUAAAAUAAAAUAAAAUAAACUUUGAGACUCCUUAGGAUUCCCGAAAAUACGGCAGACAGUUUGGGGCUCUGACUCCCUCCAAUCAUGCUGUACACCCUGCAGCUUUUUUUGAGGCUUUGGCAAUCAUUGAGAUGGACAACGUUUGUGAAGCAAAAAAUGUCCAUUACGUAGACAAAUUCAUCGGGACAUCCAUUCUAGAAAAGAUUUAGACAAAAAAGAAUCCAGUUGGAAACGUACAAACACUAAACUCUUUUGUCUAGCAAGAAGCCGACGACGUUAGAAGUCAUGCAAAUCAAUUUUGAUUGCACUGAACCACUCAGCUUAGAUUCCUCUGCGGAUUAAGAUUCUUCUUUGGAAAGUAGAUUAGUAGAGGUUCGAACUCUACCUCUACAAUGAAAAAAAUUCAUUCAAAGUAGGUGUCAAAACACCCUUUUUAUCUAAUAGGUUAGUCCCUUAUGCACCGUGUUUUUAGCCUCCUCUCUUCCCUGGAUUAGGAUUAGAUUAUUAAGUUACAAAAAUGUUAUCAGUACCGUAAAAAAAAAAGAACUUUAAUUGCGCUGCACCAACGUAAGGUAGCCAGCAAUUUGGAUUAAAGAAUUCUAAUUUGGCUUCGUAACGUCUCAUUUCCUAUUCAUGUCAAUGAAUUACAGCAGCCCCCUUUUUUUUAAAAAAAAAAAAAAAAAAAUAAGCUGCUUCUGCUCAAGAAGUGUAAACAUGGAGUAUCGUAACCAAAAAUAGUAUGUGCAAGUAUAUCAUGUGGUGUACGUGUACUGUAUUUGUCCAUAAAUGGAUUUGCAAUUUAAGGACAAGUCCACAGUGAAAUUCAAAUACAGGCUUAAACAUUUAAGAAUUGGUAUAUAGUAGUAAUUCUUUUCAACCUUUGAAUGUGAUACAUAUAUAUAUAUAUAGACACACACACACAUAACCUUUAUUCACAUUUGCAAAAUUCCUUUUACCACCACACACCAGAUGUGUGUAUCUAUUUGUUGGUAUUAAGAAAAAAAAAGUCACAAUUAUAUUAUCCACGUGAGAAAAUUUCAACUAAAAUUUUGAGCUCUUUUUUUUUUCCCUUUUAAGGAGGGGGAGAAUUGAGUUUAAGAAGCUGGUAAUGAAACUAGAAAUCGGAAUCCAGGGCCUCUGAGUGUUAGUAACUUAACCUCAACUGCAAGAGCUGGAAAUGCAUAAUGUAUCCAUUUCCGGGAAGAAAAAGGCUGCGAGUCUCUAAAUUUUGGUAGCCCUUUUGGGGCUGAAAAGGAAAAGUUUGUCGGCCGUCGACGAAUUGUACGCACAACCGUUUAUCGAACUCGCAGUUCAGCAAUUAAUGUCAUUUUAUGCAUGUACUCCUCGUACGGACUGCUACCAUCCUGACAGCUAGCUGUUACUCUAAACCAGCUUCAUAUUAUAGUUUCAUUUAAUAUAACCCCUGGUCGGCGGGUACACAUAUUUCUGGUAGAUUCAGGAUCAUAUUCUGUUUAAAUGAAGCUUCAACAUUUUCAUUAAAUCUGGCCUCUUCUUGUACAUAAAUUAUAAAGUGAGGUACUCCAGCUUCCAUUGUAAGAGCAACCCUGCUUUGCGACAAUAAAUAGUCGACAUGUUCUAUCAAACUAAUGAAAAAGACUACAAAUAGUAGUGUCUCGGCUACUACUCCGCUUGUUUCUCCAACUAAGAAUAAACAUGACAUAUAUCAUCAUCAGUCAAAUACACUGAAUUGCUAUAUUAAAAUGUGGAGACUAAGCAGCAGCCCAAUACGAAAUAGCUGCUGGAGAUCUUAAUAUCUUAAACAUACUUGCCUCUAUAUUUUGGCUUUGAUUCCUUGCUGAAUUUUGUGCCCCCUGCAGCAUUAAGCUGCAUGUCAAGCGGACUAAAGACGGCUGAAUGAAGAUUGCCAUCUUCCAACCACUUGAGAUGGUUUUCCCUGAACUCCAAAUGUUUGAUUCUAGCUGCCUCUGCAAUGUCAUCUGUAUAUGGCGCAAUCUUCACCAUGGUUAACAACACACGACUGUACCUGAAGCUUAGGAUCUGCUCACAGCUUGCAACCAUUUUCAAACAUGGGUGCUCAGGAAAACUGGUAUCAAUUGUGUCUUCCUCUCUCAGUACAGGAUAGAAGUACACAAGCCUUCCACCCAUUACAAGCAUCCUAGCAGCAAGGUCAAGCAAGUCGUGUACACACUCCACUAAGCUGUAAGGAGCAGUGGAAGGUAUGUGGUCAUUCCUUUUGUCAUCAGGAACUGUAUACGGGCCCACUACCCCUUUCAAAAGCUUUCUGCCACCAGAUUUACGGCCCCCAGCACGAACUCCAUAAGGAGGAUCACAUAUUAUACAAUCAAACACCUAAAAGAAGCACAACGAAAUUCAUAAACCAUGCAGGCAAAGAACAUGCCCAAACACAAUCACGGGCAUACAAGUCUAACGAAUGAAAAAUGCUGUGCAUAAACGUACAGGCAGGAGCUUCUUUGUUUUUUUCUUUUUUAAUGCCAAACUCCAAGGCGACCAGCUACUAGGUUCUAUUACUAGGACCACCCUACUACACAGGGAAACCCUAUUCCAUUUAGCUCAGACAUAGGAUAUAAUACAAUUCCAUUGUCCCUGCCAAAUAAAGCUAUCUUACUUCUUGUAUUCAUAAAUCUUGACUAAAAGCAAGAGAAUGCAUUCACAAGUUAAUACAACUCCUCUGCUUCAAAAUAGCAGUGGAUGGCAGAUAUUUUAACUCUACAUCUGAGACUUUACCACCAAGAGAAAAAUGUUUUGUUCAUUGUCUGCUAUCCAGGUAAUGAUGGAAGAGAAUUUAGUCUUCUCUAUAAUGCUGGAGGGAUAGAAGGACAUGAGAAGUUUAGCCAUGACAAAGACUACCAGCCUUAGCAUGUUCUUAGGACUUGUGGGUCAAGAGGAAAACAAAAGAUUUUAAGGAUAAAAUGUCACAUGAAAGUCCUUGCUUAAUCUAUUCCAGGAGUAAGCAGUUCAUCCCACACAGUUAUUGAUAUGCUGGUGGACUACAGUGGUACAUUUUAAGCUAAUCCUUGUACCAGAUUUGUUUCAAGCUUUUUUUAACUGGAGAAGGGGGAAAAACUGUCAUUUAUUGUCCUUGACCAGGAUUACUUACCUCCUUUAGUCCAGGACGCCAAGGCGGGAGGUUGUUGUCUGCCCUCAACAGAGAAAUUGGCAUGGGCAAUCCAUACUGCCACGAAAGCCAUAUAGAUGAGCACUACUUUGUAAGUAUUCACAAAAAAAAUGUUGAAGUAUAAAGUUUCACUGCAUAAAACAAGAUAAAAAUAAUAAUCAUAAUAAUAGAAAGUCAAUUUCCGUAUCUUAACCUGUUUGAAAUUGGUCCAGACAUUACAAUCAGGACCACGACCAUCACGAACUACGCGAAUAUCGAUAUCUGCACCCUGAGAAAUUCACAUUAAUGGCACGCAAAAGCAAAAGAAAUCUUAAUGUUUUCAACCAAAUGUAAGGUAUCCAACCAGAAAUGUUAUGUGAAACAAAGCCUAGUAACAGAAGUUUUAGUGCACAUAAAAUCACACACCAUUGUCAUUGCUCCAAAAUGAGCUGCAGCAAUCAGGAUGCUUCCAGUACCAACAAAAGGAUCAUAGACAAGUUUCCCAGUUUUGGCCUGUGCUUGAUUGGCCAUCAGGAAAGCCAUCUCUGCAUCCAUGGCUGUGGGACCAAGGUAAGUGCGGCUUUUUAAUUGGUAAGUUGGCAGAAGCUUCCUAUCUGCAGCCCCAAUCUCUCGACCAAAAAAAAUUCUUCUGCAGACAAUGGGAGGAAGCCCAUUGUUAGAUCCGUAAUUAUCAGUUUCCAUGAGCCAGAACUUGUGAUCAGGGUGGCUUAGAUUGACCUGGCCCUGUAAGAACCAAGGUCACUUAGCAUCUGCUAACAACAGGAACUAUCACCAAAAAAAAAAAAAGAGGAACAAAGUUGGCAACUUCUAUGAACAAUGAUCCUUUCACCACAUUAAGAGGGACUAUGCAAAGAUCUGUACGUAUGUCCAAAGAUGACAGUUACCUUUACAGGUCUCACAAUUACCACCAUAGCUUAAUGCAGAAAAAGAAACACAAAAGUAAUGCUAGACCAAGAAAAUUUUAUGUACUUGCUGGUACCCACUAUCAUACCCUUCUUUCCCAAAACAUUAGAGAAACAAGAUAGGAAAGUUAUCAGUACAUCGAGAUUCUUAAAGGCAAAACAGAGCAAUUUAUCCAAGAUUGGUGUAUCAACGAAACAGAAGAGAAAGUAAGACCAUGGAGCAGAUGAAACACCUGAAACUCAAUUUCAGACACAAGACUGCAUGAGACUUUUCCUUUUAACCUGAAACUGCAAUAGUCAAAAAGUAGCACCCAGCACCACUUUGCAAGAUAUUAGAACACCUACCCACUUUUAAAUACUAAAAUUUACUUUGCAAUUCCAAUCAAUCAGGAAUACACUUUGUGAAACCAAAAUUCCUAAAAUAACUUUGACAUCAUACUCAUGAUGGGGGGAAAUGCAUUAUGUUGUGCCCCUAAUAAUGAGACAAUCAGAAAGGGAUACACAGAUACAGCUUCACAACUGUUUGGCAUAUGGGGAGGCAACCUUGCGGACUUAUCAAUGUUGGAGAUUUUAUAAUGUCUGAGUUCCUUUCACAUUGUUCUUACAAGUUACGAUUUUCAGACAAGGAAGGCAAAAAGGAAAAAGGAAUUUUAAGAAAACAAAAAAGAUAUCAUAAAUAGCUAUAAUCUUAUCUUCCAACAGGAAGCAUGCAGAAGUAAGGCUAGUUCAGAGAACCAAAAAAAAUUCGUAGCAUAGUCUACCAUCUAUCAAAAUAAUCCAAAUUAAAAGCCAUGCAAGGUAUCAUCUGACAUGAACAACAGAUAAUCUAAGCAACAGAAAAAGGAGAGGAUCAGAUCUUUAUACAAAUAGAAAAAGGAGAUAACCAAACCUUAAAUGGAAUGUAAGAGAGCUGUUGAAUACGAUCAUUCUGCUCUUGAAAGCUAACAACUUUCCCAAAACUGUCCACAGUAAUCUUGAAUGUGCUUCCAGAUGUAAGGUAUGGCAACUUCUGCUCAUCUGGACAACUUUUUAUAGCCUCUUCCAGCUCCUCAAAGCUACUUCCUUCACCCCAGAGCUCAUAAAUCCCUUUUACAAGAAUGCCUAAACAUCCAAGACUUCAAUUCGUCAUAUACUCAUUCACGCUUCAAGGUGACUAUUGACAAUAAGGAAAUAAUUGUGUUGAAUCAGAGGAAAAUCUAAAUUGAGCUCCAACCAAAAGGAAAAAUGGAUAUUUAUGGAAAAUUCUGAUCUGAGUAAAUGUCUAGUUAAACAAUCCCAAGAUAUAACAUGAUUUUCAACUUCCUUAACAAUCACGGUUAACUCCUUCAAAUGGAGUAAAUAUUCUCUGCUUUUACGCAAGAAAUGAGAAGCAUGCAAGGAUACGGAUAUUAAAUUGCAUAUAUGACAAGAAUGAUGAGGCGCAUAUAACAAUCCAGAACAAAGAUUAUCAACGAAUUAGCUGUAGGGGCUGUUGUCAACUAGCAUAUUAACAUUUGUCUGGACACCGUGCUUCUCUACAACCUAAAUGAAGAUCUAUAAAAACUCGGCAGUACCCAUAACCAAUUGAAAAGAAAAAUUUUAGUCUAAUUUUCUUUAGCUAUAAAACUUACUCUUCUUCUUAAAAGCAAGCUAACAAAAACAUACCCUCCACUGCAAACAACAUAUUAUGAGGAGAAUAUAUUCAAGCGCAACAGCUAUUACAGCCACUUCAGUUUAAGCAGCAAGAUUCAGUAUUCUUUUCCCCUUCUACUACGAGAAGGCCCCAAAGAAAAAACACAAUAAAUUAUCAAAAUAACAAAAAUAAUUGGAGGUAAAUAUAGUAAAUAAUAAACAAAAGAAUGUAUUAGACAAACAAAAGGAGAUCCCUUGUUGCUUACUUCUAUUGGCUAUAUUGCAGGCGAUUUGUUCAGAUGGAAGAUUAACAAAAUGGAAGGGAGAAUCAGGGUGGUGGUCCUCUGGAAGCCUCCACUCAAGCGACUUCGAUUGUGGGUCGGUUUCUUUAUCAAAGGCCCCAAAGAGGUCUGCUAGAGAUUCCACCUCCGGCCUUCUGUAGUCCAGCAACCUGUGGUAAAAUACGCAUAGAUACCACAUUAUUUUGUGCUUCCUUUUCUUUUGCUAACUUUUAUUUUUCGCAGAGAUAGUAGGACAGAGUGGUGGUCGCCCAAGUUGUUAACAGCGGACGGCGGCUGCCGGAUGGCGGCGGAGGAGCUGUACUACUCCUCCAGAAGUGAGGUGUUCCGAUACCAAAAUCCAAAACCCAAAACGCCAAAGCCCUGCCACCGCGCAAGGAUGUUCCGCUAAUAAGUUUAGUCACACGUUCUUUUCUAAGUUAAAUUAAAAAUAUGUGGGGGACUCCAAUUUUUGGCAUCAAAAUAUAACUGGUUUUUAUUAAUCGAAAGUGUUGCGACGUUAAAAAUUCAAAUUAAGUUAUACUACAUAAAUAUUUUUUAUUGAAUUUGACCUUCAAAAUGUCAAUUCAGUUGGAAUUAAGAAUUUAUAUUGAAUGCAGCAACGUUCAAGAAAUCUCAUUCAAGUUAAAAUUAAGAACUUGUACGGACUGUGAAUCUCAAAAAAUUAAAUUCAGUUAAAUUUGAAAUUUUGUUUUGAAUGCAAAUUCAAAAAAUUAAAUUAAAUCAAACAUAAAAACUUUUUACUGGAUGUGGUGUUCAAAAUAACUACGUUGGUUAAGUUAAGAUUUUGUAAUCAGUGUGGUGUCCAAGAAAUUAUAUUCAGUUAAUAAAAAAUUUUGUCGUAAACAUGACUUUUAACGGAUCAAAUUAAGUUAAAUUCAAAAUUUUGUAUUGAAUUCAAGUUUAAAAGAUCAGGUUAAACCUAAAAAUUUUUGUCGAAUGUGACCUUCACAAUAUCAAAUUUAUUUAACAUCAAGAAUUUCGUAGUAAGUGUGACUUUCAACAAAUCAAAUUCAAUUAAAUUCAAAGUUUUGUACUAAAUCUCUUUUGCUUUUUUGCAGGUGUUUGCAUCCAUAUGCUUAUUAUUGUACACACGCAUUCAAAAAUCUGUACGUAUAUAUAUAUAUAUAUGCAAGUGUAUGUCUCUUGACCUUUUCUAAACUGAAGUUUAAAAAUUCGGCUUUUAUAAAACUAAUCCCAGAAGAAACCUCAAAAGCCGGCAACUCUUGAGGUCGUCCCAGGGACUUAUAAACCAAACCCAAACCCCCCCCCCAGAACCGAUGUAUGCAAGUGUAUGUAGUAGUAUGCAAUUUAAAUAUUUGACUGAUUACAUAUAGUAGUAACUCUUUAAGUUAAUUGGAUAUUAAGUACCAUUCAUUCCAACAGUUGACUAUAUUUUGAAUCGAAAUAAUUGUCAAUCAAUUAUGUUUUGAUAAUACUUUGAUGAAUUGGCCUCCAUCCUGUUUAAAAACUGGCAAAACCUUCGUGCAAAAUAUCCUUUUUGAAGUUGUGUGAUUUUGUCCUCCCAAUCGACGGUUAAUAAGGCAGAAGAUAAGCAACAACUGGCUAUUUCUUUCAUAUCACAUACAUAUAUAUAUAUAUGUCCUAAUAUGCAGUGGUACAUCAAAGUCACGAAAGUCUUUCAAAUACAUAUGCUGAUAUGCAACUAGGCAAGUAAAUCUUAAGCUAUUGAUUUCUUCUUGAUCCUUUUUUUCUCCCCACUCUCUCCCUUCCCACUUUACGUCUGGGGAUACGUCUGGGGAAUAAAAAUUUGCAGCACAGAUGCAGAGUCAAACAUGCCUUUUUCCCCUCUUUCCAAGUUAAUUUGUGAAUUGUGCGGAACAAUCUUAACAGUUGAGCAGAAUUCUCGAAUUGCCAUCUACACGAAUAUGACCUCAAAUUUAGCACAAGGAUUGCUUUCUAUGUGAUUUCUAAACUCACUGUCCCCCUUAAAUGUAAAGGUAUACAAUGCCUGUCUCUGUGUCAUGCCAAGAGGAUAUAUUCUGUGAACUUUUAGCCCAUCAUCUCCUCUUAUCUUUUCUGGUCUUUCUUGUUUCCAAACUGGCACAUGUUUCGCAGACUUGAACUUUGACAGCACCGCGGACUGCAAUGCCUUCAAGGUUAAAUUGGAUGACCUGCCCAAAAAGGUCCAAGAAUGAGAAUGCAGGAAGGGUUGGAUCGGUGUCAAACUACAAAAUAAACAUAUGCAUUCGGGGUAAAGUAAGAAAGAAAAUCCAAAUUCAUCGACUUGUUCAUCUAAGACGACAAACACAUUCCUGAUCCACCCACAAAGUCAGGUACAGUGGACUGACAAUCUUCAGUCUCUAUGACGAAAACUCAAUAGGUCAAAAAGAAUACCUUAGAAAAAUCGACACCAUCUCAAACCUCCCUCUUUCGCGAACAUAUACAUGAUAGACAGUUUCUAAGCCUCUGGUGCAUUUGCAUGGCCGUUUUUGAAACUCUACUUUUUUCUCCUCUCUCUCCUGAACUUUUGUUGCCAAGAAAAUGCAUAGACGACAAGAAGAAUGAACUGCAGCCAUAUCAACAAGGGCCUUGAAAGAAUCUGAUGGGCCCUCAAGCUUCCACCUACAAAGUAGACUCAAAUUUUCCUCAAACUGCAGAGUGGGUAGAAAAUUAAAUUUCCACAUGUAAUACAAGCAGCAAAAGAGUAAAUUUUGAUAUCAAUCGACAAUGACAUGAGCAGAAAAAAGUAAUAGAGGAAACUGACUGCGAGCCCAUUAGAGAAGUUGUACCAUAAUCUUUAACUAGAACAGGCAACAUAACACUAACCAAGAUGAUGUAUACGAAAGUCUACUAAAAGACUGGCCUAUAUACAAAUGAUACUCACCUUAAUGAUUCAUUAUAUGCACCAGGAUUUUCAGCAAGAUAUGUCAUAUUCUUGGCAACCGAAUCAACAUCAUUUAGCUCCUUAAUGUGUAACACAGAACUAGGAGAAGGGGCAAAAUCUUGGAUAUUUGGUGCACCCACAACGACAGGAACAGUUCCUACAAGUUCAUGUUAAAGCUCCUUCAUUAGCAAAACAAUGAGAUAUGAACCCAUUCCCAACAUAUAGGCUCUUUUCACACAUCCACAGCAAUUACUUGGACUACAUUGUUCUUUAAAAGCUAUAACAAAUGAGACACAAGACAUUACUUCAGAUUUCCAUCUGAAAUCAUCCGAGAAAUAACAUUUCUCAAUGCCACAAAAGUAUAAGAAAACCUAGUUAAUUUCCAUCAGAAAGUGCUAUCUCGAAGCUUCAAAAAGGAAGAAUUUUGAAGGAAGGAAUCGAAAAACAACAUAUUUCAUACCGGCCACAAGAGAUUGGAAGAACUUCUCAGUAACAUAAUCCUCCUCAUUUGAAUUCUCAAAAGCCAAGCUGAACUUGUAACGCAUCAGCGUUUUUACCUUGUCCACUGCACAAAAUUAUAACUGAAGUUUAAACAAUAAGAUGUGCCAGCCAGCAGCAUAUUUCCACAAAAACACUACCUUAUCAAAUACGUAACAAUUUAGCAUCAACAUUUAUACAAUCUAUUCAAAUGAAAGCAUUAACAUCCACUACAAAGAUUUUCUGCAAACUUCUUAGAUGCAAAAUAGUAACCAGAUAUCAAUUGAAAGCAAUGGCUCGUUCUUCUCCUGUAAUUCUAAAGUGCAGAAAUAACUCCAACAAGGAAAUUUUAAUAGCUUAAAUAAUUAGAAGGCCAUUAAUUCCACAGUAUCUAAGAACCAGACUUCAGCUUAAAGACAAUAAGAAGACAAAAACAUUAACAGUGCAAUAUGCUCACCAUUUCCACCACGAUUUCGAUGACAACUUCCAUAAGAAUCAAUUUUGAUGUUAGCCCUCUCAAGUGCUUCAAGAGCUUGAAGUCGGAAGUUUCGAGCACCACAAUUAGAAAUAAAAGCUGCUGCCAAAGCACUCUCAGUUUUUGGUUGCAAAGGUGCCAUUAUAUCAUACUCAGCCCAAGAGAAAUACCCAACCGGAACAUCUGAAGAGAGACUUGUUGUCAUAACAAUAUCAUAUCCCCUCCUGAUGCAUGAUGACAAAACCACAUAUUAUCAGUCCGUUAAUAAUUGAAAACUAGAAAAGUUCACAAGAAAUGGAGGGAAUUUAUAUCAUAAUCAAUACAAACUAAAGUUGUAUACCAGGAUAAGCCACACGUCAGUAAGGUACAACUUUUCCAAGUAUAUAUCAUUAGUUCCAUUAUUUGUUUCUUUCACAGAUUUCUACCGCAAAUACAAGAAAGAGACUUAGAAUAGUAGCAGUAUUUCCAUAUUAUGAUGCAUGGCAGCUCUAGGCUAAUAGCACAAUAGCAUUUCCAAUGUCUUCUCAAAUAGUUUGUGCCGUGCAUUUACCUCAGUUGCCAUAUUCCAGAAUGGCAAAAAUAAAAAAAAUGAAGGGGGGGGGGGGGCCGGCAGAGGGGACGGUGAAAUAAUUAGCAGCUACAAACUGUCAAUUCCACCAAGCUCCCAAUCCAAAAUAGAAAGAUUAGAGUUAACAAGAUAUUUCAUGACACAUUAAAAAACUACAGAUGGGGAAAGAAUAUACCCUUGCAUUCCAUCUUUCUCAUGCAAUCAAGCAACAAGAAUGUGCCAUUCUUUUACAAAAGACCACUUUUAAUGAUCCUACCAGCAAGAACAAGCAUGUGUUUAUAUUCUCAUCAAGUAUCAAGACAGUCACAUUCUUAGUUGCUCUAUGAUGUUGGGUGACAAGUCCUUUGACAAAUUACAACUAAAAAGGUAUAUUUAAUUAACAAUUGGCUCCAGCCUUCAGCAUCUUAUUCUACAAGUAUGAUAAUCAAGAAAGUCAAAUUGUUCUUGCAUUUUCCCAUAGCAAAAGCCUGCUAUGCAUUGAGUUCAUCAGGACCAUAAAUACAAAACUGAGAGAGAGAGAGAGAGCAACAACAUCAAGUGAGAGACACCUAGUAGUUUUAUGUGCCAAUCUAAAUAUGCAAAGCAACUUGUUCAAAUUAAACAAUGGAUACAGCUUACAGCAAAAAUACUUUAGUGCGAAAACUGUUUCAACUCGAGGCAACGUUUAACAAGAAUUAGGUUUUCAACAACAUGAAAGAGACAAGGUCAAUGAAAUGUGAACAUGCUAUAGUCAGUUCUUACCCACCGUCGUGCCAUAGCAACAUUGUUCUCUGCAUAAUAUUGAGCUGACUCCAUUGAUCGAAGCACGCUCGCGGCACCAUCUUGUUGAGGUAAACCAAAUGCAGCAUCAGGCUUUCUAUUGCUAUCAAAUCCAAAUUUACAUCCCACAGAACAGGACUUCCACUCCUAAAUUGAAGCAAGUAACAUUAAUAAAUACAUGACCCACAUAAUAAAUUAUUACCCAACAAGCAAAACCAAAAGGAAAGAUAUUUUAAUUGUAUUAGGAUGCUAGAAUCCACAUAACCCAAUACAAAUUUCAGAAUUUAUGUUCCAUCAAGUAAAGAAAAUUGUCAUUUCUUCAAAUUAUUAAUAAGCUUUAAAAACAGGAUAGCGAUUAAAGGCACGUGUGAUGGUGCAAAACACAACAUCACCCACCUUUACAUUAAUACGGUUUGUUUACAUUUUUCUAAAAUCAAUUUGGACAUUAUCAUUAUAGGACACCUACCAGGAAAACUACUCAGUGCUCUAAAUAAAAUCAACAACUAACGAAUUAUUGAAAUUAAUCUACUGUAACUUUAAUUUAGCAAAAAUUAUGGUAUAGCACAUCUGUUAAACCUACUUCACAAUUACUCUUCUUUAAAUUUCUCAUCAUAGAAUAGGUUGUGUCACUACACUAUCCGACCCUACCCUACCCUAUAAACAAACAAAAAUUUGGACUUUACACAAAGAUUAUCCACCAGUUCAUCAAUACUAUUAAGCAGCAGCCUUACAAUUCUGAACAUAAAGUAGAAAAUUCCAAAUUAACUACUAGUAUCAAAUAACAAAAAUUUAAUGAAAGAAAGGGAAAAAAUGGAAAACCUGUUCAGCACCAGUUACAAAGAUGGGAUCUUUCUGAAAAUCCCUAGAGUAAGCCACCGAGUCCUCUUUCUCCAACCACUCCUCACAGGUAUUUUCCACUUCGGAGCCGCUCUUCCGAUCAAAAUCGUGGCCGGUCACACUGGUCAACCCGGCGUCUGCCUCAUCUUCACCGUCGCCCAUAUGAAUAUGCGUUGUGGUGGUGGUGGAUGAGGUAGACAACCAAGACGACGACGUCGUAUACUGGUAAAAGGAGUCAGCCCAGGAGUUGACUAAGUCAACGUUCUUGUCCACGUCCAGUCGGCCCAGAAAGGCGAUCUCUGCAAUCACCACUAAACUCACAAUCAGAGGCAUCAGAUUCCACCAUUUCUUCUUGGAGGUAUUACUGUUACUGGUGGUGGAGGAGUAGGAUGACCCGCUUGACUCUUCGAAUCUGGGAUGCCUCUGAUUCGGAAUUGUGGAACCCAUUCAGAUAAUGGUAGAAUUUUUCAGAAUUUUGAAAUUGGGGAAAAGCAUGCACCGUCUUAGGAUGAAAGGGUCCUUUGUGACGAAUAAGAAUCCGCCGCCUUCAUCCUCAGGGGAUUUCAACACAUUCGAGUACGAGGGACAUUAAUAAGUACAACAUUUUCUCGCUUUGGUUCUGGUUUUUGUAGGAAUGGGUUGACCAAAUGGAACCUUUGGUGUAGAGUCUAAAAAAUGCUACUACUAGGACCAAUGUUCCGGUUGGGAUCCUCUAUGCCACUACUAGAUGCUAAAUUCAAUAUCAAUCCCACUUAUCACGUAAUGAUAGAAGAAAUUUAAAUAAAGAAUACAUAACAAAUUAAAUAAACAGGAUACUUGACAUAAAUAUAGAAGUGGCACUGAAUUAUCACUUAAAAAGUGGCACUAAGGAUCCCGUGUGCUAAUGAUCUAUAUCUAUAUCUAUUGCAGAGUGGAUUUUUAGGAGACGGCCUCUCAAUGGCUUCCAAACUUCUCAUUCUUUUUUUUAGAUUUUUUGUAUUUAUUUUAAUACAUAAAAAGUAGUGGGUUAUAACCAAUCCUAUUACCAGUUAAAUUUAAAAUUUAAAACUUUCCCACUAUCUACUUCAUAAACCGUUUAUAGUUUGUUAUUUAUACUUUAAAUCUUUUUUACUCCUUAAUUAAAGACAAAUGCUCAUUUGUAUACUAUUUUAAUACAAUUUUACAUUUUUAUAAUUAAGAAAUAUUUAUCACUAAACUAAUCCUAUAACCACUCCUAUAAAUGAGCUUUGCAAAUUACAAUCACGUUUCAAAAAAAUCACAAAUGUGCAACUAAAUGUAAAGUGGAUGGGAUAAAGUGCAACUAAAUGUAAAGUUAAGGGGUUUACUAUAUUUAACCCAAAAAAAAAUCGCAAGAACGGAACAAUUGUUUUUUUCCCCUUUUAGGAUGGCCGGACAUCCAUGUGCAGUGACCAAAAAAUGUUUCCCUUCUUAAUGAACGUAAGAUGGCCAAUUUAUUUAUUUUUAAAAAAUGAAUAGGGCUGUUUCAUAUCCCAAAAAAAAAAAGAAACAAACCCAGGUUCCUCCAUUGUUAUGAUUCUUUUCACCAUUAUUCUAAGAAAUUUGCUAAAUUGAGUUCCUUAGGGCAAAUAAUGAGAUGUGUAACCAGUCCGUUUUUUUUAUUUGUGUGACCAGCCUAUUAUUGACAAAAGUUUAAAUUUUUAAAAAGUAUACAAAAAUUAGGGGAGAUAAUAUUAAGAGUUUAUAGUAAAUUUAUCACACUUCUGGUGUGGUUUUCGCCUGUCAAUACCACGAAAAAAUAGAAUAAAUCAUUAUCAAUUAUUACACGCUAAAUAGAAUUCGAAAACAUACAACAUGAUCAAGAAACAACAGAACCAGUUACGACUAGAUUUUGACCUCAAAAAAAAUUAGAACUAGAUGCCAUUGGCACGUUGCUGUAAUUUGCAAUGCCAAUUAAGACUAUUUAGCGCUUUUUUUUUUUUUUUUGCAAGAAAUUCGGACACUAUAAAACUUAUUUAGGCAAACUUUACCUCAGCGAGGAUUUGAGUAUACUAUCAAGUUAUUGAGUAUACUACAAAUCAUAUGAUCAUGCUCACAUUUCCCCCACGUUUCCACUCCAAUUAAGAGUUCUCCAAUUUAAGAAAUGUUUAUCUUUUAACUAAUCCUAUAACUGCUUCUAAAAAUCCUAUAAUAAUACUCACGUUUUUCCUACAUUUCUCCCACUUUUUCACUCCAAUUAAGAGUCCUUCAAUUUAAGAAUUUCACUCCAAUUAAAAGUUCUCCAAAACAUAGCAUCCUCAUUCAACUUUCUUGCGUGCUCACUCCAAUUAAGAGAACUUUCUUGCAUUUUUCCCAAAAAUUUAUUAUCUCCUUCAACUUUUUUAUGGUAUCCAUCUUAGCUCUUAACAUAAUUUCACUAUGGAACAUGCUUGCCUACAAGCAUUUCAACGACAGCUAAAUUUCAAACUCGCAAUAUUGCAAAAGGAGGAAACAUUUGUUUAGAAAACGAAACGUACACCGCAACGAUUCUAUACAGCAGUUCGAAAAGUUUCAACAAUUUUGCUUUGACGAAAGAGAAAUCUCACAUCAAAUUCGAAGGACAAAAUCCCAACUACACCAAUUAAAAUGUCGUUCGCAUCAAAUUAGAAAUCCCGAUACUGUUUAUUCUUUAAACAUUUGCAUUUUCAUUGUUUUAUUAAAUAUUAUUUCCAAUAAUGUAAUAUUUUCGAUUGAUUAUUGUUGUUAUUGUCUUUCGUCUUUAAAUAGAAGUGAAAUGUUAGGUAAUAGGUCAUCGUUUUAGACGCAUUUUCUCAUGAUUCAAUAACAACUUAUUACGCAACAGUAAGUAUAAAAUUUUAUUUUAUGAUCAAAAUAAUAGAUGUCCAUCACUAUUUUUAUGUCAUCUUUUUCCCUAUGGCAUAAGUGUUGGUAUUUGAUUUUUUAUGGAAUCAAGUUCCCUCCAGAUAAAAAAAUUAUGGAAUUGGAUAUGAGAAAUUUCUUACGAUAAAAAAUUUAAAUCUUCAAAUUGUUGGCGACUUAGUUUGGAUUCUUGGAAUUCGAUAACUAUGUAUAGUAUUUGAUAUUGUCAUAAUGACAGAUUCCGUACCUUUAGGCCAAAAGAGUUAAUGUUUCUUAUCACAAAAAGAUUGUCAUUAUCUGAUUCUUUGUCACUCUGGUCUAAAUUAUAAUGACGUGGUCGACAUUGUUGUUAGGUAAUUAAUUUCAUGUACUUUUAAUUUUAACAUAUUUUCUGUAUUGUAUAUAAUAUUUUAUUUGUCAAACAGGUACAAUGUUAACAUAUAAAUCAGAGAUUCCAGUGGUAACAUGCAUCUUAAUCUACAAGACAGACAUGCACGAUUCGUAUUUAGUUGUGAUGCUUAUUAUCUCAGAGAAUUACAAAGAAAGGUAGAAUUUCUUGAUAUAUAUUUAUGUUUUAUAAUGCUAUUUAUAGACUAUGUAAAAAAAAUACACUAAUUUUGAAUUUCAUACGUACUUAAUUCUCAGAAAAAUGGUGAUAGGUUGUUCAACCAACGAAUCAAUUCAUGCAAAAAUCGUGUAUUUUCAUUUAUAGUACGCACUCCACAAAAUUCAACAGAAUUAAUUAAAUCACCAAUUUUGAUUUUCGUACUAAAAGUUGAAUGGUGUGAAAAGUGUUCGCACUUUCAUGCAAGAUUAUCAAAUCAAAUACAUAAUAUUUGUAAGUAUUUCAUUUUAACAACAUUCAAUUACAUUCAUUUUUAUUCAUAUAUCAUUCAUUUUCUAAUAUAAAUUUAUAUUAUUUUUUCAGAAUCUAUCUUUCGAAAAAAGGCAGUUCUUGAAUGAUAUACACAUUGUAUCAUAUUUCAAACUAUUGUUAGACAGAUAUUACAUUUUAAUUGUGUUGGUACAAUUUUUUAACCUUUUUUUAUUCACCAUUUUAUUUUCAUUUUUUUCAAUAAUGUCAGCAGCGUGCGUAGCACGGGUAUUCACACUAGUUUUCAGAGUAAAAGUACUAGAUAACUAUUAAGUGCGCCAAAAUUAACUUACACUCGACAUGAUAAUAGAUGACUUGCACAGCUCAUUAAUUUUCUUUCAAUUAAGUACGAGUAUUAUUUAAUAUUCUGUGUUCGGUGUUUGUGGUUAAAUAAUUGACUGUAACUGUAUUUUGGAAGUUUUUUAAAAUUUAAAAUUUUAUUAUAACAAUCUAUCUCUAUAUACAUUUGAGAAGGAAUUUUUAGUAACAAGCCUCCACGCAUUUUUCCACUACCAAUUUCAUAUUUCUAGCAUUUCACAUUUAAUUUAAUUUAAUUUAUAAAAUAUAUUUCUUUCAACUUCCACAUCUACUUUUCACAUUUGAAAUUAUUGGUUAUUUUUUAAAAUCAUUUCAUUUCAAAUUAUUGGUUAAUGUGCAUGUUAUCCUAUUUAAACUUCAACCCAUCACGUUUCCGAUUACCUUGCGUUAUUUAUGAUUUUAUAACAAUUAAAACUUCUAUAAGACCAUAAGAAGAGAUAACAAAUAUAACAUCCUUUCAUGCUUUUUUAUUAAUUUAAAUAAGUAUGAUUAUUUACACUCCAUUUUUGUUAUUCACAUUUCAAUAAUCAUUUUGGUCAUAUAAUUUUAAUUAAUUAGACUAUAUAAUAAAACAAAUGGUGGAAUUGCAAAUAAUAAAAAAAAUGGGGUGCAAAUAACAUUUUCUUAAGUAAGAAGUGACUUCCAUGCUUUUCUAAUUUAAAAAAGUAGUGACUCCACUUAUAUAGAAUUUUGGUUUGAAGUUUAUUAGUGGAAGGUAAAUAAAAAGAAAACAUUGCCAAACUUAGUAAAAGUAAAAAAGUAAAUGACAAUAUUUUAUUUUUUAACUUAGUAAUACUAAGUAAAAAGGCAAAAUUAAAUAGAAAACAAAAACGAAAUAAUGUCGUGGAUUUAAAAAAUCAAGAAUGGUACUAUUCAUGAAAUCCAAAUUAUGAAUUCACUAAAUAAAAAACAAAGUACUACUAGCCUUUUAACGUGGACUUUUUUUUUUGAAAUAUUCAUUUUUGAUAAAAAAUAAUCAUAAUAACAACACCAAUUUUACCAAAAAAUUUUUAAAAAAAUAACAUUAUAGUUUAAGAGAAAGAUAUAGAACAUUCAACUCUAAAAUACUACUUAAUUUGUAUAUAUUUGGCCCAAAUUUGACAUUAGAUUUGAAUAAGAGUGCAAAACCCAAACACUAAGGAUAACUUUUGGUAUCAUUAAUUAUUUUAUGUAUUCUUAUUGCUGUUUUCAUAUGUAAAUAUGUAUUUGCUAUGUUAAAUAUAUAUAUAUAUAUUGAUUGUAGUACUUGAGGAUAUUAUAGAUAUUAUUAGUUUUUCAUUUCCAUUUUUAGAUACUAAUAAUUGCAACCAUUGUAAUCAUUUUUCAAUUUUAUAUUUUUCAUUAUGAUAAGUAAAGUUAAAUAUAUUAGGUCACAGGAUAUGAAUUUAAAGGUUAGGUAUAGAGGGGGAGGGAGGGAAGAAAAUGGUGAGGAGUUGAAAAGUAGUAGGAAAGAUUGAAGAAAAAAUAUGAGUUACAAGAAUAGACGGAGAAGGAAGAGAAGAAGAAAAGGGAUUGUAGGAAAGAAAGUUAUACGAGGCAUCACUUUUUUGACCCAUCACAAAAAAUUAAGUCAUAAGGUAUUAGAUUUAACACCAAGGUUAGAUAAUAGUUGAUAUCUCAAAGGGUUAUUGUUACGCAUUCUAACAAUAAAAAAUCAUAAAUUAACAAAAUAGAUCUCUAAAUUUUUUCAAUUUAUCUGUAUGGCAAUUCAUCAUACAUAUGGCAAAAAAAAUUUUCAGUUGCUAUGACAAUGUAAGAAAUUUCCAAAUGUAUUAAGAAUUUCCUCAAGGUAAACAAUGAACAAUAUAUAGAGAAGAAGUAGCAAAUUUUGAACUAUUGAAAAAUAAUGAAGUAUUCGUCUAAUGUGAAUUUUAAUUAAGCUCUUAAGAGUAAUUAUUGACAUUAUAAUGGGAUUUGCCUUUCAAGAUGAAAGAAGAUUAGAGCGAAAGCUUAAGGGUAAUUAGUUUUAUGAAUGGCAACGGGGUCAAGUUGGGGCGGGGCGGGGUGCCCCGCCCUACUCCCCCCUCUCCUGUGGAAUUAAUAAAAAUUUGUCAUAUAAUUUUAUUAUAGUUAAAUUUUAGCAAAUAAUCAAGUACUAAAAUAUCAGGGGGAGAGAUGGGUUGGGUGGUACGGGGAGAGGGAGUGUAAGCAAGAGGUCUCGAGUUCGAGUCUCUUGCUUACACAAAAAAAAAAAAAAGUACUAAAAUAUCAAUAUAUCAUCAAAUUAUUAUCUAUUGUGAUUUCACAAUUGAAAUUCAUAAAAAUAAUAAAACAAAAAUUAUUUGAAUACAAUCCAACAUGAUCCAACAAAAACAGCUAAAGUAGUCAAUUAUUAAUUGCUUGUGUUUGGAUUGUAAAUUAUUUGAAAUAUUUUUACUGUAGCACUUUUUAUGAUGUGAUGUAUGUGAGAUAAAAAGGUGUAUUAAAAAUUAUAAUGGUGAUGUAAACAAAUAAAUUUGGACAAAUAAUCUCCUGUCCAAACACAAAAGUUUUCACUUUUAACACAAAGACAAUUACUAAGUCAUUAUUAUAUUUUUUUUUGAAAAAAAAAGUGUUGUUGUGCUCAGUGUAAUUAGAAAUUUAGUAUAAAUUUAUUAGUAAAUUUAGUAUAACUAAUCAAUAAUUCCUAUUAGUAGACAUAUAUAAUUAUUAGUAUAAUUAAUAAUAUUAAUAUCCAUUAUAUAACACAUAUAACUAAAAAUAUCAUUAUUAUAAGUUCAUAACUAAUUAAAUUAAAUAUUAUAUAUAUAUAUAUAUAUAUUUUGAAACUGCAUUAGUUUGGAAGUAAUUUUUAAGAGAAAGAUUAUUGUGUCAAUAAACUCCGAUUUCCCCUCGAAGCAUCUUAAGCAUAAGACCCGUGGUUAUAUCUCCAGAAACGAUUCAAGAACUUCUCACCUAAUAUAUAUAUAUAUAUAUAUACACACACACACACACACAUUUGCUCAAGUUGGUGAUCCACAAACUUUCACAAAACUUCCACCCUGAGAUAGAGAGAUGCAUCAACAUUUUAUCUACAACCUCAUAGCUACACCGUCGUGCAAGGAGGUUACAUGGAUCUAAAAUCUACUUUUGAUGAUCAACAAACCUGUCGAAAAAUUUCAAAACCUUCUUCCUAGUCCGUAAAACAUUACCGUCAUAUAAAGUAUUCAAUGAAAUAGCAUCCUUUACUCCAAAUGGGGUGUAAACUAAAUGCUUGUCAUCUUUCUUGUUGGUG